GAAAGAUUAGUAGUUGCUGAGGGCUGAGGGAAAGAGAGAAUGAGGAGUGACCACUUAUGGGCAUUGUAACCAGUCAACAGGCCCUUGCAACCUGUGGCGUUUGAGACUCCAGCUUUCAAGUGAAGAAUGAACAACUUGGGGCCUCCUAGGAUAAUAUUUCCUGAAUAAGCUUUCGUUUGGAAUUGGACAGGGAUGUGAUCACUGGCAGCAAUUCCAGGUCCACUUACCAGUACGGAAAGAAGCCAUUUAGACCUGGAGCACCACUGUUUUCCUUUUUUCAGCAUUUCCUGAGCAGCUGUUGUUGGCAGAGAAUCGUAUUACCUGCUCCUUUCCUGGACCCUAGGCAAGUCAUUCAACCCUUCGGUAAUUCCGUUUAUCUGUAAAAGGAAGAGGAUGUAACACCUGCUUCACGGAGUUGGAGUUGGCGGAAGGAGCCAUGGAACACUAUCUAAUGGAUGCAGAGGG